UACGUAGGGUGCGAGCGUUGUCCGGAAUUAUUGGGCGUAAAGAGCUCGUAGGCGGUCUGUCGCGUCGGCUGUGAAAACCCGAGGCUCAACCUCGGGCCUGCAGUCGAUACGGGCAAACUAGAGUACUGCAGGGGAGACUGGAAUUCCUGGUGUAGCGGUGGAAUGCGCAGAUAUCAGGAGGAACACCGGUGGCGAAGGCGGCGACCUGGGGUAGAUACUGACGCUGAGGUGCGAAAGCGUGGGGGAGCAAACAGG
rnacentral:rRNA from 1 species